GCUUGUCGGUGGUGGUCGGAGCAAUCCGUCUGUUCCGCGCGGGCGCAUGCUUGGGUGGAAUCUGUGUGGCAUUAGGUUGUCGUGCAGGGGAGGCCCAUCGUUUACUGUGAGGAAAUUAGAGUGUUCAAAGCAGGCUUACGCCGUUGAAUAUAUUAGCAUGGAAUAAUGAGAUAGGACCUUGGUACUAUUUUGUUGGUUUGCGCACCGAGGUAAUGAUUAAUAGGGACAGUUGGGGGUAUUCGUAUUCCAUUGUCAGAGGUGAAAUUCUUGGAUUUUUGGAAGACGAACUACUGCGAAAGCAUUUACCAAGGAUGUUUUCAUUAAUCAAGAACGAAAGUUAGGGGAUCGAAGAUGAUUAGAUACCAUCGUAGUCA
rnacentral:rRNA from 1 species